rnacentral:rRNA from 1 species
CGUAAAGCGCAUGCAGGCGGCCUCGUUAAGUCAGAUGUGAAAGCCCGGGGCGUUAACCUCGGAAUUGCAUUUGAAACUGGCAGGCUAGAGUCUUGUAGAGGGGGUAGGAAUUUCAGGUGUAGCGGUGAAAUAGCGUAGAGAUCUGAAGGAAUACCAGUGGCGAAGGCGGCCCCCUCGGACAAAGACUGACGCUCAGAUGCGAAAGCGUGGGAGCAAACAGGAUUAGAUACCCUGGUAG